rnacentral:misc_RNA from 1 species
CGCACAUUGCGCCCCUUGGUAUUCCGAGGGGCAUGCCUGUUCGAGCGUCAUUAAAACCCAUCAAGCUUGGCUUGGUAUUGGGGUUCGCGAUCUUGCGGCUCUAAAAUCAGUGGCGGUGCCGUCUGGCUCUACGCGUAGUAAUUAUUUCUCGCUAUAGGGCCCUGUGGUUACCUGUCAGAACCCCCUAUAUUUACGGUUGACCUCGGAUCAGGUAGGGAUACCCGCUGAACUUAA